AAUGUCGUAACAAGGUUUCCGUAGGUGAGCCUGCGGAAGGAUCAUUACAAAGUAAAGCUGGUAGGAAGUGGGGUCCUUGAUUCUGUAAGUCGGUAGAGCGAAGCAGGUCCUGGCUGCCUGCCCGAAAUGUCUUCACACUGUCCCCCCACCAGACCUGAAGGCCGAAUUACAACCCUUGAUUAUCUACAACUUGUUAGCUUUUCGGGGAUGCUCAAGUGCCCCAGAGGACCCAACUCUCUUGCAUUUAGUGACGUCUGAGUACUAUUAUAAUAUUUAAAAG
rnacentral:misc_RNA from 1 species